rnacentral:rRNA from 1 species
UAGCCAUAUCACGCUGAACCACCGGUUCUCGUACGAUCACCGAAGUUAAGCAAUGUCAGGCCUGGUCAGUACCUAGAUGGGUGACCACUUAGGAAUACUAGAUGC